GGAUGUGAGGGUGAUCUGGCUGAGACAUCUGUCACCCCAUUGAUCACCAGGGUUGAUUCAGCUGAUCUGGCUAGCUAGACGGGUGUCCCCGUCCUCCCUCAAUGCUCCAGGUGCUUCCUUCCUGAAGCUGAGCGCUUAGUCAAAGAGGGCAACCACCUUCGACAGAGGAGGACUGUUCCUCCAUCGAGGAUAUAUGAGUAGCUGCACUCCCCUGCUAGAACCUCCAAACAAGCUUUCAAGAAAUGGAUACAGAAAAUGCCAUGAGUAGAUUUCAGCAAGCCUCACUG
rnacentral:snRNA from 1 species